GACGAACGCUGGCGGCGUGCUUAACACAUGCAAGUCGAACGGAAAGGCCCCUUUGGGGGUACUCGAGUGGCGAACGGGUGAGUAACACGUGAGUAACCUGCCCUUGACUUCGGGAUAACUUCAGGAAACUGGGGCUAAUACCGGAUAGGAAUCCUUGCUGCAUGGUGGGGGUUGGAAAGCUUCGGCGGUUUUGGAUGGACUCGCGGCUUAUCAGCUUGUUGGUGGGGUAGUGGCUUACCAAGGCUUUGACGGGUAGCCGGCCUGAGAGGGCGACCGGCCACAGUGGGACUGAGAUACGGCCCAGACUCCGACGGGAGGCAGCAGUGGGGGAUAUUGCACAAUGGGCGGAAGCCUGAUGCAGCAACGCCGCGUGCGGGAUGACGGCCUUCGGGUUGUAAUCCGCUUUCAGCAGGGGCGAAGCUUGUGGUGACGGUACCUGCAGAAGAAGCACCGGCUAACUACGUG
rnacentral:rRNA from 1 species